AGUGAAUAGAUACCCCGGUAGUCCACGCCGUAAACGAUGAGCACUAGGUGUCGGGGUCGCAAGACUUCGGUGCCGUAGUUAAACGCAUUAAGUGCUCCGCCUGGGGAGUACGUUCGCAAGAAUGAAACUCAAAGGAAUUGACGGGGACCCGCACAAGCAGCGGAGCAUGUGGUUUAAUUCGAAGCAACGCGAAGAACCUUACCAGGACUUGACAUCCUUCUGACAGGACCUUAACCGGUCCCUCCUUCGGGCAGAAGAGACAGGUGGUGCAUGGUUGUCGUCAGCUCGUGUCGUGAGAUGUUGGGUUAAGUCCCGCAACGAGCGCAACCCUUGUCAUUAGUUGCCAUCAUUUGGUUGGGCACUCUAGUGAGACUGCCGGGGAUAACUCGGAGGAAGGUGGGGAUGACGUCAAAUCAUCAUGCCCCUUAUGUUCUGGGCUACACACGUGCUACAAUGGCUGGUACAAAGAGACGCAAGACCGCGAGGUGGAGCAAAUCUUCAAAACCAGUCCCAGUUCGGAUUGCAGGCUGCAAC
rnacentral:rRNA from 1 species